rfam:Schizosaccharomyces cryophilus OY26 unplaced genomic scaffold supercont4.5, whole genome shotgun sequence.
GUCAAAGCAUUUUGCAAAAGCUAGCGUAUCUGUUUCUUGCCUUUUACCAGAAACAGCCGUUUGCAAGGUGUGCUAAUUUGACUGUUUAGUUUUUGUAAACCAUUUCUAAAGCUU